GAUGAACGCUGGCGGCGUGCCUAAUACAUGCAAGUCGAGCGAACAGACGAGGAGCUUGCUCCUCUGACGUUAGCGGCGGACGGGUGAGUAACACGUGGAUAACCUACCUAUAAGACUGGGAUAACUUCGGGAAACCGGAGCUAAUACCGGAUAAUAUAUUGAACCGCAUGGUUCAAUAGUGAAAGACGGUUUUGCUGUCACUUAUAGAUGGAUCCGCGCCGCAUUAGCUAGUUGGUAAGGUAACGGCUUACCAAGGCAACGAUGCGUAGCCGACCUGAGAGGGUGAUCGGCCACACUGGAACUGAGACACGGUCCAGAAUCCUACGGGAGGCAGCAGUAGGGAAUCUUCCGCAAUGGGCGAAAGCUUGACGGAGCAACGCCGCGUGAGUGAUGAAGGUCUUCGGAUCGUAAAACUCUGUUAUUAGGGAAGAACAAAUGUGUAAGUAACUAUGCACGUCUUGACGGUACCUAAUCAGAAAGCCACGGCUAACUACGUG
rnacentral:rRNA from 1 species